UACGUAGGGGGCGAGCGUUGUCCGGAUUUACUGGGCGUAAAGGGCGCGUAGGUGGUUGGGUAGGUUGGUGGUGAAAGGUUGGGGCUUAACCCCAAGAGGUCCACCAAGACCGCUCGACUGUGAGGGCAGUAGAGGACGGUAGAAUUCCGGGUGUAGUGGUGAAAUGCGUAGAGAUCCGGAGGAAUACCGGUGGCGAAGGCGGCCGUCUGGGCUGUCCCUGACACUGAGGCGCGAAAGCGUGGGGAGCGAACUG
rnacentral:rRNA from 1 species